rnacentral:rRNA from 1 species
CCUACGGGAGGCAGCAGUGAGGAAUAUUGGUCAAUGGACGAGAGUCUGAACCAGCCAAGUAGCGUGAAGGAUGACUGCCCUAUGGGUUGUAAACUUCUUUUAUAUGGGAAUAAAAUGGUGCACGUGUGGGUUUUUGUAUGUACCAUAUGAAUAAGGAUCGGCUAACUCCGUGCCAGCAGCCUCGGGAAUACGGAGGAUCCGAGCGUUAUCCGGAUUUAUUGGGUUUAAAGGGAGCGUAGGUGGGUUGUUAAGUCAGUUGUGAAAGUUUGCGGCUCAACCGUAAAAUUGCAGUUGAUACUGGCAGUCUUGAGUACAGUAGAGGUAGGCGGAAUUCGUGGUGUAGCGGUGAAAUGCUUAGAUAUCACGAAGAACUCCGAUUGCGAAGGCAGCUCACUGGACUGCAACUGACACUGAGGCUCGAAAGUGUGGGUAUCAAACAGGAUUAGAUACCCUUGUAGUC